rnacentral:rRNA from 1 species
AGCUCCAUUAGCGUAUAUUAAAGUUGUUGCAGUUAAAAAGCUCGUAGUUGGAUUUCGGUGUGGGCCCGUCGGUCGGGCUGCAAGGCCUUGUUUACUGGUUGGUCUACUCUCUCUUCUCAAAGACUGCACGUGCUCUUCACUGUAGUGUGUGCCCAGGAUUUGAGACGUUUACUUUGAAAAAAUUAGAGUGUUCAAGGCAGGCUACUUGUAUGCCCGAAUACAUGAGCAUGGAAUAAUGGAAUAGGACUUUGGUUCUAUUUUGUUGGUUUCCUGGACCGAAGUAAUGAUUAAGAGGGACAAUUGGGGGCGUCCGUAUUUCGUUGUCAGAGGUGAAAUUCUUGGAUUUACGAAAGACGAACAACUGCGAAAGCAUUUGCCAAGAGUGUUUUCAUUAAUCAAG